UUGGAGGGCAAGUCUGGUGCCAGCAGCCGCGGUAAUUCCAGCUCCAAUAGCGUAUAUUAAAGUUGUUGCAGUUAAAAAGCUCGUAGUUGAAUUUCGGGAUUCAUCCGUUGGUCGGGCCUCACGGUCCGUACUGGUGUGAUGGGUUCCUACCUUCUGAACAACCGGCAUGCCAUUAAUUUGGUGCGCCGGGGAAGCAGAACUAUUACCUUGAAAAAAUUAGAGUGCUUAAAGCAGGCAAGUGCCUGAAUAGGUUAGCAUGGAAUAAUAAAAUAGGACGGCAUGGUUCUAUUUUGUUGGUUUCUAGGAUCACCGUAAUGAUUAAUAGGGAUAGUUGGGGGCAUUAGUAUUCAAUUGUCAGAGGUGAAAUUCUUGGAUUUAUUGAAGACUAACUUCUGCGAAAGCAUUUGCCAAGGAUGUUUUCAUUAAUCAAGAACGAAAGUUAGGGGAUCGAAGACGAUCAGAUACCGUCGUAGUCUUAACCAUAAACUAUGCCGACUAGGGAUCGGACGAUGUUAAUUUUUUAAUGACUCGUUCGGCGCCUUACGGGAAAC
rnacentral:rRNA from 1 species